rnacentral:snoRNA from 1 species
AAUCCAUGGUUUGGGCAUUUCCUGAGCAUAGAUUUAAAUCGAUCCCAUGCUUCGCAUAGGCAUUCCCCAGAAGGCUGGAUAAAGGUGGAGAUUGCCAUUUUUAAAUCC